rnacentral:rRNA from 1 species
GCGAAAAUCCCCUUACGGGGGAUGAGUAGAGUGGCGCACGGGUGAGUAACACGUAGGUAAUCUACCUUCGGAUGGGGAAUAACAAUCGGAAACGGUUGCUAAUACCGCAUAAUGCAGCGGCACCUAAUGGUGACAGUUGUUAAAGCGGGGGAUCGAAAGACCUCGCGUCUGAAGAGGAGCCUGCGGCGGAUUAGCUAGUUGGUAAGGUAACGGCUUACCAAGGCGACGAUCCGUAGCCGGCCUGAGAGGGCGGUCGGCCACACUGACACUGACAUACGGGUCAGACUCCUACGGGAGGCAGCAGUCGGGAAUUUUGGGCAAUGGGCGAAAGCCUGACCCAGCAACGCCGCGUGAAGGAUGAAAUCCCUCGGGAUGUAAACUUCGCAAGAACGGGAAGAAUAAGUAGGGGACAAUACCCUCUAUGAUGACGGUACCGUUUGUAAGCUCCGGCUAACUCCGUGCCAGCAGCCGCGGUAAUACGGGGGGAGCAAGCGUUGUUCGGAUUUACUGGGCGUAAAGGGCGCGUAGGCGGUCAGCACAAGUCAGUUGUGAAAUCUCCGAGCUUAACUCGGAAAGGUCAACUGAUACUGUGCGACUAGAGUGCGGAAGGGGCAACUGGAAUUCUUGGUGUAGCGGUGAAAUGCGUAGAUAUCAAGAGGAACACCUGCGGC